rnacentral:rRNA from 1 species
GGGUAGCAAUAUCUGAUGACGACCGGCAAACCGGUGCGGAACAUGUACGCAAUCUUCCCAAAACUGGUGAAUAGCCCUCCGAAAGGAGGAUUAAUACACCGUAAUAUAAUGAAGUGGCAUCACUUUAUUAUUAUAGCUCCGGCGGUUUUGGAUGAGCGUGCACCUGAUUAGGUAGUUGGUGGGGUAACGGCUCACCAAGCCUACGAUCAGUAACUGGUGUGAGAGCACGACCAGUCACACGGGCACUGAGACACGGGCCCGACUCCUACGGGAGGCAGCAGUAAGGAAUAUUGGUCAAUGGACGAAAGUCUGAACCAGCCAUGCCGCGUGAAGGAUUAAGGCCCUCUGGGUUGUAAACUUCUUUUAUAUGGGACGAAAAAAGGGAAUUCUUUCUCACUUGACGGUACCAUAAGAAUAAGCACCGGCUAACUCCGUGCCAGCAGCCGCGGUAAUACGGAGGGUGCAAGCGUUAUCCGGAUUUACUGGGUUUAAAGGGAGCGUAGGUGGGCAGGUAAGUCAGUGGUGAAAUCUCUGGGCUUAACCCGGAAACUGCCAUUGAUACUAUUUGUCUUGAAUUAUCUGGAGGUAAGCGGAAUAUGUCAUGUAGCGGUGAAAUGCUUAGAUAUGACAUAGAACACCCAUUGCGAAGGCAGCUUACUACGGAUAUAUUGACACUGAG